rnacentral:rRNA from 1 species
GAUGAACGCUAGCUACAGGCUUAACACAUGCAAGUCGAGGGACCGGCGCACGGGUGAGUAACACGUAUCCCACCUGCCUUUUACUCGGGGAUAGCCUUUCGAAAGAAAGAUUAAUACCCGAUGUAAAGGAUGGGGAUGCGUUCCAUUAUGUUGUUGGUGAGGUAACGGCUCACCAAGCCUUCGAUGGAUAGGGGUUCGGAGAGGAAGGUCCCCCACAUUUGAACUGAGACCCGGUCCAAACUCGUACGGGAGGCAGCAGUGAGGAAUAUUGGGCAAUGGGCGUUAGCCUGAACCAGCCAAGUAGCGGGAAGGAUGAAUGCUUAUGGGUCGUAAUCUUCUUUUAUAUAAGAAUAUGUAUUAUAUGAAUAAGGAUCGGCUAACUCCGUGCCAGCAGCCGCGGUAAUUC